rnacentral:rRNA from 1 species
UCGAGAAUCUUCCACAAUGGACGAAAGUCUGAUGGAGCGACGCCGCGUGAUUGAUGAAGUCCCUCUGGGACGUAAAGAUCUUUUAUGAGGGAAGAAGUUUAUUGACGGUACCUCAUGAAUAAGGGGCUCCUAAUCUCGUGCCAGCAGGAGCGGUAAUACGAGAGCCCCGAGCGUUAUCCGGAAUUACUGGGCGUAAAGGGUGUGUAGGUGGUUUUGUUAGUCUUUUGUUAAAUCUCCGGGCUUAACCUGGAAACCGCAAGGGAAACGGCAGAACUUUGAGAGUGUGAGAGGUCUAUGGAACUCAUGGUGUAGGGGUGAAAUCCGUUGAUAUCAUGGGGAACACCAAAAGCGAAGGCAAUAGACUGGCGCAUUUCUGACACUGAAACACGAAAGCGUGGGUAGCGAAUGGGAUUAGAUACCCGCGUAGUCC